rnacentral:rRNA from 1 species
GAUGAACGCUGGCGGCGUGCCUAACACAUGCAAGUCGAGCGGAAAGACGAGGACUUUGCUCCGUUGACGAGUGGCGAACGGGUGAGUAAAACAUGUGGAUAACCCCCCUAUAAGAGGGGGAUAACUCGGAAACAGGGGUGCUAACACCGGAGAACAUCUUGAUCCACAGGGUGCAAUAGUGAAAUACGGCUGUGGUGUCAGUCAUAGAUGGAUCCACGCCUCAUUAGCUAGUUGGCAAGGUAAAGGGUUACCAAGGCAACGAUGCGUAGGCGACCUGAGAGGGUGAUCGGCCACACUGGAACUGGGACACGGUCCAGACUCCUACGGGAGGCCGCAGUGGGGAAUCUUCCGCAAUGGGCGAAAGCCUGACGCAGCAAGGCCGCGUGUGUGAUGAAGGCCUUCGGAUCGUAAAGCUCUGUUAUUAGGGAAGAACAACUUUGCACGUAGACGAGCGGGGCUUGACGGUACCUGAUCAAAAAGCACCGGCUAACUACGUG